UGAAUGGAACGUUAAAGAAACAUGGAACAGUUUGUGAGCAAUGGAGCAAAUGACCGAGCGAGAGCCGGUGUAUGAGUCAGGACCCUGGGGCUGAAAUAUCUAAGUGCACAUGAGGCAAGUUGAGACACAGCCGGAGAUGGAGAACGGUGGGAGGGAGACGGAGAUUACGAGGGAACGACAAACCAAAUGCCAACAGGGAGGAAUACCACAGGGAGGAAGGGAUAGCUCACGAGGAGGACCUCUUUCUUCACCGGCCUAAUGAUGGCCUCCUUCACUUCCAUCAACACCUCUUUGGACCGCAUGUUGAAAGUUCUCAUGAAGUUUCAACAUGUUCUCAUGAAG